AGGAAUGCGUGCGUGAGUGCAUGGUGUGUGAGUGUGCCCUGCGAUGGGCUGGCCCCCCAUCCUGGGUUGUUCCCUGCCUCGUGCCCAUUGCUUCCGGGAUAGGCUCCGUACCCCCCGCGACCCAGUAGGAUAAGUGGUUUGGAAAAUGGAUGGAUGGAUGGAUGAUAGGUAAUCCCACUAAUUAAUAAAAUGAAAAAGUAGCCACAAGCCAUCUACACUCGGACGUGCUAUAAUCACCCACCUUCACACACGGACUGGGGAGCCCCUUUCAGUCCUGGCAGGAGACUAACACGUGAUUCCUGAGAAGUGCCGGGCGAUGCGCGCUCUAUUCCACGGCUGAUCUCUGGUCAGUGCUGAGCUCUCCCCCUUCCUUUAUGCUAAAUCUGGAGUGGUACGCGUGCGGGGAGGGGGCGAGCUGGCCAGGCUCACCCCCUUCCUCAGGGAAUAUGCUCUUUAUUCUCCAAUUCCUGUCCAGGUGAGGCUGUUUUGCGCUUGCGGUUACGAAGCAUUUUGGGCAGGGCUUUCCCUUUUCCCCUGGGAAAGGCAAGAUAGGUGUUCUAGCUCUUUCUGUGAGAAACAAGUUAUAUAAGUGAUCAGUGAAAAAACAUGUUUGUGCAGUUCACCUGUGGCACAACAAUAAUGUGGGUGAAUCACGGUGGAUGUUGUAUUUGAAUCCCGGGGUGUUUAGUCCAAACACGAUCAGAAUCAGUCCAUACCUCAAUCUCCUCAUAGGUAUGUCUGCUAGGUGGAGUUGGAGGUGCAGUAUAAUCCGGUUAUAAUGGACUCGCUUAUAACGGAAUAUCAUCUAUAACAGAUAAGGUCUGCUGGUCGUGCGCCUUUAAGAACCUCCAGAAAAAGCAUCGGAUAUAGCGGACUCACAUACAAUAGAAUUUCGCUUAUAACGGACAAACAGUUUGGUCCCGUUUGUCAUUUGCCGUGUGUCUGUGGCAGGAUACACGUGUGUGAGAGUGUCUGCGGCAGGGUACGUGUGUGUGAGAGUGCCUGUGACAGGGUACGUGUGCGUGAGAGUGUCUGUGGCAGAGUACGUGUGUUUGACAGUGUCUGUGGCAGGCUACAUGUGUAUGAGAGUGUCUGUGGCAGGGUACGUGUGUGUGAGAGUGUCUGUGGCAGAGUACGUGUGUUUCAGAGUGUCUGUGGCAGGGUACAUGUGUAUGAGAGUGUCUGUGGCAGGGUACGUGUGUUUGAGAGUGUCUGUGACAGGGUACAUGUGUGUGAGAGUGUCUGUGACAGUGUACGCGUGUGUGAGAUUGUCUGUGACAGUGUACGCGUGUGUGAGAGUGUCUGUGACAGUGUACGCGUGUGUGAGAGUGUCUGUGACAGUGUACGCGUGUGUGAGAGUGUCUGUGACAGUGUACUCGUGUGUGUGAGUGUAUGUGACAGUGUACUCAUGUGUGAGAGUGUAUGUGACUGUACGCGUUUGUGAGAGUGUCUGUGACAGUGUACGUGUGUGUGAGAGUGUCUGAGGCAGGGUACGUGUGUGUGAGAGUGUCUGUGACAGUGUAUGUGUUUGUGAGAGUGUCUGUGACAGUGUACAUGUGUGUGAGAGUGUCUGUGGCAGGGUACGUGUCUUUCAGAGUGUCUGUGGCAGGGUACAUAUGUAUGAGAGUGUCUGUGGCAGAGUACGUGUGUUUGAGAGUGUCUGUGGCAGGGUACAUGUGUGUGAGAGUGUCUGUGGCAGGGUACGUGUGUUUCAGAGUGUCUGUGGCAGGGUACAUGUGUAUGAGAGUGUCUGUGGCAGAGUACGUGUGUUUGAGAGUGUCUGUGGCAGGGUACAUGUGUGUGAGAGUGUCUGUGGCAGGGUACGUGUGUGUGAGAGUGUCUGCGGCAGAGUUCGUGUGUUUGAGAGUGUCUGUGGCAGAGUACGUGUGUGUGAGAGUGUCUGUGGCAGAGUACGUGUGUUUGAGAGUGUCUGUGGCAGGGUACAUGUGUGUGAGAGUGUCUACGGCAGAGUACGUGUGUUUGAGAGUGUCUGUGGCAGGGUAGUUGUGUGUGAGAGUGUCUGCGGCAGAGUACGUGUGUUUGAGAGUGUCUGCGGCAGAGUACGUGUGUAUGAGAGUGUCUGUGGCAGGGUACGUGUGUGUGAGAGUGUCUGUGACAGGGUACAUGUGUGUGAGAGUGUCUGCGGCAGAGUACGUGUGUAUGAGAGUGUCUGUGGCAGGGUACAUGUGUGUGAGAGUGUCUGUGACAGUGUAUACGUGUGUGAGAGUGUCUGUGAUUGGAUACGUGUGUGUGAGAGUGUCUGUGACAGGGUACAUGUGUGUGAGAGUGUCUGCGGCCGAGUACGUGUGUAUGAGAGUGUCUGUGGCAGGUUACGUGUGUGUGAGUGUGUCUGUGGCAGGGUUCGUGUGUGUGUGAGAGUGUCUGAGGCAGGAUAUGUGUAAGAGUGUCUGUGACAGUGUACGUGUGUGUGAGAGUGUCUGCAGUAGGAUACGUGUGUGUUAGUGUGUCUGUGGAAGGGUACGUGUGUACGAGAGUGUCUGCGGCAGGGUACGUGUGUGUGAGAGUGUCUGCGGCAGGAUACGUGUAUGUAAGAGUGUCUGUGGCAGGGUAAGUGUGUGUGAGAGUGUCUGUGACAGUGUACGCGUGUGUGAGAGUGUCUGUGACAGUGUACGCGUCUGUGAGAGUGUAUGUGACAGUGUACGCAUGUGUGUGAGUGUCUGUGACAGGGUACGUGUGUGUGUGAGAGUGUCUGAGGCAGGGUAAGCGUGUGUGAGAGUGUCUGUGACAGUGUACGCGUGUGUGAGAGUGUCUGUGACAGUGUACGCGUCUGUGAGAGUGUAUGUGACAGUGUACUCGUGUGUGUGAGUGUAUGUGACAGUGUACUCAUGUGUGAGAUUGUCUGUGACAGUGUACGUGUGUGUGAGAGUGUCUGCAGUAGGAUACGUGUGUGUUAGUGUGUCUGUGGAAGGGUACGUGUGUACGAGAGUGUCUGCGGCAGGGUACGUGUGUGUGAGAGUGUCUGCGGCAGGGUACGUGUGUGUGAGAGUGUCUGUGACAGUGUAUGUGUUUGUGAGAGUGUCUGUGACAGUGUACAUGUGUGUGAGAGUGUCUGUGGCAGGGUACGUGUCUUUCAGAGUGUCUGUGGCAGGGUACAUAUGUAUGAGAGUGUCUGUGGCAGAGUACGUGUGUUUGAGAGUGUCUGUGGCAGGGUACAUGUGUGUGAGAGUGUCUGUGGCAGGGUACGUGUGUUUCAGAGUGUCUGUGGCAGGGUACAUGUGUAUGAGAGUGUCUGUGGCAGAGUACGUGUGUUUGAGAGUGUCUGUGGCAGGGUACAUGUGUGUGAGAGUGUCUGUGGCAGGGUACGUGUGUGUGAGAGUGUCUGCGGCAGAGUUCGUGUGUUUGAGAGUGUCUGUGGCAGAGUACGUGUGUGUGAGAGUGUCUGUGGCAGAGUACGUGUGUUUGAGAGUGUCUGUGGCAGGGUACAUGUGUGUGAGAGUGUCUACGGCAGAGUACGUGUGUUUGAGAGUGUCUGUGGCAGGGUAGUUGUGUGUGAGAGUGUCUGCGGCAGAGUACGUGUGUUUGAGAGUGUCUGUGACAGGGUACAUGUGUGUGAGAGUGUCUGCGGCAGAGUACGUGUGUAUGAGAGUGUCUGUGGCAGGGUACGUGUGUGUGAGAGUGUCUGUGACAGGGUACAUGUGUGUGAGAGUGUCUGCGGCAGAGUACGUGUGUAUGAGAGUGUCUGUGGCAGGGUACAUGUGUGUGAGAGUGUCUGUGACAGUGUAUACGUGUGUGAGAGUGUCUGUGAUUGGAUACGUGUGUGUGAGAGUGUCUGUGACAGGGUACAUGUGUGUGAGAGUGUCUGCGGCCGAGUACGUGUGUAUGAGAGUGUCUGUGGCAGGGUACGUGUGUGUGAGUGUGUCUGUGGCAGGGUACGUGUGUGUGUGAGAGUGUCUGAGGCAGGAUAUGUGUGAGAGUGUCUGUGACAGUGUACGUGUGUGUGAGAGUGUCUGCAGUAGGAUACGUGUGUGUGAGAUUGUCUGUGGCAGGGUACGCGUGUGUGUGAGAGUGUCUGUGACAGGGUACGCGUGCGCGAGAGUGUCUGUGACAGGGUACGCGUGUGUGAGAGUGUCUGAGGCAGGGUACGUGUGUGUGAGAGUGUCUGUGACAGUGUACGCGUGUGUGAGAGUGUCUGUGACAGUGUACGCGUCUGUGAGAGUGUAUGUGACAGUGUACGCGUGUGUGUGAGUGUCUGUGACAGGGUACGUGUGUGUGUGAGAGUGUCUGAGGCAGGGUAAGCGUGUGUGAGAGUGUCUGUGACAGUGUACGCGUGUGUGAGAGUGUCUGUGACAGUGUACGCAUCUGUGAGAGUGUAUGUGACAGUGUACGCGUGUGUGUGAGUGUCUGUGACAGUGUACGUGUGUGUGAGAGUGUCUGCAGCAGGAUAUGUGUGUGAGUGUCUGUGACAGGGUACGCGUGUGCGAGAGUGUCUGUGACAGGGUACGCGUGUGCGAGAGUGUCUGUGGCAGGGUACGCGUGUGCGAGAGUGUCUGUGACAGGGUACGCGUGUGUGUGAGUGUCUGUGACAGUGUACGUGUGUGUGAGAGUGUCUGCAGCAGGAUAUGUGUGUGAGUGUCUGUGACAGGGUACGCGUGUGCGAGAGUGUCUGUGACAGGGUACGCGUGUGCGAGAGUGUCUGUGGCAGGGUACGCGUGUGCGAGAGUGUCUGUGACAGGGUACGCGUGUGUGAGAGUGUCUGUGACAGUGUACGCGUGUGUGAGAGUGUAUGUGACAGUGUAUGUGUGUGUGAGAGUGUCUGUGACAGUGUACGCGUGUGUGAGAGUGUCUGUGACAGUGUACGCGUCUGUGAGAGUGUAUGUGACAGUGUACGCAUGUGUGUGAGUGUCUGUGACAGGGUACGUGUGUGUGUGAGAGUGUCUGAGGCAGGGUAAGCGUGUGUGAGAGUGUCUGUGACAGUGUACGCGUGUGUGAGAGUGUCUGUGACAGUGUACGCGUCUGUGAGAGUGUAUGUGACAGUGUACUCGUGUGUGUGAGUGUAUGUGACAGUGUACUCAUGUGUGAGAUUGUCUGUGACAGUGUACGCGUGUGUGAGAGUGUCUGUGACAGUGUACGCGUGUGUGAGAGUGUCUGAGGCAGUGUACACGUGUGUGAGAGUGUAUGUGACAGUGUACGCGUUUGUGAGAGUGUCUGUGACAGUGUACGUGUGUGUGAGAGUGUCUGAGGCAGGGUACGUGUGUGUGAGAGUGUCUGAGGCAGGGUACGUGUGUGUGAGAGUGUCUGUGACAGUGUACACGUGUGUGAGAGUGUCUGCGACAGUGUAUGUGUGUGUGAGAGUGUCUGUGACAGUGUACGUGUGUGUGAGAGUGUCUGAGGCAGGGUACGUGUGUGUGAGAGUGUCUGUGAUUGGGUACGUGUGUGUGAGAGUGUCUGAGGCAGGUUACAUGUGUGUGAGAGUGUCUGUGACAGGGUACGUGUGUGUGUGAGAGUGUCUGAGGCAGGGUACGUGUGUGUGAGUGUGUCUGUGGCAGGGUACGUGUGUGUGUGAGAGUGUCUGAGGCAGGAUAUGUGUGAGAGUGUCUGUGACAGUGUACGUGUGUGUGAGAGUGUCUGCAGUAGGAUACGUGUGUGUGAGAUUGUCUGUGGCAGGGUACGCGUGUGUGUGAGAGUGUCUGUGACAGGGUACGCGUGCGCGAGAGUGUCUGUGACAGGGUACGCGUGUGUGAGAGUGUCUGAGGCAGGGUACGUGUGUGUGAGAGUGUCUGUGACAGUGUACGCGUGUGUGAGAGUGUCUGUGAUAGUGUACGCGUCUGUGAGAGUGUAUGUGACAGUGUACGUGUGUGUGUGAGUGUCUGUGACAGGGUACGUGUGUGUGUGAGAGUGUCUGAGGCAGGGUAAGCGUGUGUGAGAGUGUCUGUGACAGUGUACGCGUGUGUGAGAGUGUCUGUGACAGUGUACGCAUCUGUGAGAGUGUAUGUGACAGUGUACGCGUGUGUGUGAGUGUCUGUGACAGUGUACGUGUGUGUGAGAGUGUCUGCAGCAGGAUAUGUGUGUGAGUGUCUGUGACAGGGUACGCGUGUGCGAGAGUGUCUGUGACAGGGUACGCGUGUGCGAGAGUGUCUGUGGCAGGGUACGCGUGUGCGAGAGUGUCUGUGACAGGGUACGCGUGUGUGAGAGUGUCUGUGACUGUGUACACGUGUGUGAGAGUGUAUGUGACAGUGUAUGUGUGUGUGAGUGUGUCUGUGACAGUGUACGUGUGUGUGAGAGUGUCUGAGGCA